ensembl:lncRNA uncharacterized LOC114466598
UGUGGAGAGGGAGGAGAUGGACUGCUGUGGUGGAGUCUGGCCGUAGGGCCUGAGGAGGUACGAGCAGCUGAGGGAGAGGAAGCCAAUCAGGAAAUUCCUCUGUGGAAGUUCGCCACCUCUCCAACCUUCACCGAGACGUCCUCGCUCGGAUCGUUUAGGUUCACCUUCACCGUGCAGGAAGUGCUGGACCAGUAUAGAGAGCAGGUACAGAUCUGUCCAAUGCUGUGCUUUACCUGGUGAUCAUGUUAUCUCUUGCCAAAAGCUUCCUCGUGUUUUCUUUUGUGGUUUACAGAUCUGCUUGGGGGAGGAGCCUGUCAUGAGGGUGUACAGGACUUCUCUCUUCCCACAGAAAAUUCAGUACACCAUACUGAUCCACAGUCCGGUGCAUGAGAAGACUUUCUCCAAGUAUUCUCUGCUGAAGGAUGAGCCGGGCGCUGUCUGCAGCUACAGAGACGGACGCUUCAUCUGGAAGUCACAGGCCAUGUGUGGCACGCACCAGUGAGACUUUCCUUCUUCUCAGGAAUCAGUUUGUGAGAAACUGUGUUGAAGUGAGGCAUCAUAGAUUUAGAGUUGCAUCUGGAGGUUUUGUGCUGAUGGUUAUUUGGUCUUUUACUCAGCUACAUGUUGACAGACUGGACAGGUGGAGCCAUGGAGCAGUUACCCUCAGUACUAUGUGUAUGACAGCGUGGCCAUCGCCCUGCAAAUGGAGGAGGAACAGGUUUUAGAGUUUGAUAAGGAUCUCCUGAGGAUGAACCUCAAGUUCUGUCAUCGAGGUCCUGAAGCUUUUGGAUCAUGGGUUAAUCACAUCUUUACGAGUCGUAAACAUGCUGAACGUGAGGUCCGUAGACUCUGGCCUGAUCAUGAAGGAAACCUGGAGGAAGAACGUUCUCUUCAGGAGAAGUUCGCAGUUUCCAACCUCCGGCUGGUUCUCCUCGGGAAGUCAGGAUGUGAGACGUCUGAUAGUGCAGACUUGAUCCUGAAUACAAACACCUUCUCCAAGGUUUUCGAACAAACAGGAGGACUUUUGUACUGGAGGCAGAGCGGGGAGGUGUUCAACAGGUUUGUGACGGUCCUGGACACUCAUCAGUUCUCCCAGUGGAAAUCACAGAAGAACAUCAGAUACUUCAAAAAAGAAGCUUUAAGGGCUGACGCCGUCCUAUUGGUGAUCAAAGGAGGAAGAAAACAAACUCUAUAUGUGGAUGAUCUGAAGAAUAAGGUGGAGACGCUGCUGGGAGAGUACGUGUGGAGAUCCACCAUCCUUCUCUUUGUCGAUGGAAGGAUGGGUAAUCCUGAGCAGAGGCCUGAGCUGCAGGAGCUUCUUGAGAAAGUCGACAGAAGAUACGUGAAGUUCAGUUCAGAUCAGGUUCAGACUCUGCUGGACAUGGUGGAGGAGAUGAAGAGGAGAGCGUAGACCAGGGGUCACCUAUAGGAGGAACCCGCUGACAUCAUGGUGUUCCUUCUUUACAUUUUAGUAUCAAAACACCUGCAUUUAUGAAGAUUUUAAUUCAGAAGUAAUUUAAUAAAUCAAUAUUCAUUUAUUUAGAAAAAUAUAUA